rnacentral:rRNA from 1 species
UACGUAGGGUGCAAGCGUUAAUCGGAAUUACUGGGCGUAAAGCGUGCGCAGGCGGCUGUGCAAGUCAGAUGUGAAAUCCCCGGGCUCAACCUGGGAACUGCAUUUGUGACUGCAAGGCUAGAGUACGGCAGAGGGGGAUGGAAUUCCGCGUGUAGCAGUGAAAUGCGUAGAUAUGCGGAGGAACACCGAUGGCGAAGGCAAUCCCCUGGGCCUGUACUGACGCUCAUGCACGAAAGCGUGGGGAGCAAACAGG